rnacentral:tmRNA from 1 species
GGGGGUGAUCGGUUUCGACAUUGGUCGGCUGGUCAGGGGAAGCGGGUCGAGGAGGCACGGUCAUCUCGUCAACGCUCCGUGCAAACCAAUAGGUGCCAAUUCCAAGCGCACCGACUUCGCCCUCGCCGCCUGAGCGAGCCUCGAAGUCCGUCAGCCUGAGCUAGUUCCCGUCUCAGAGCCUGGCGUCAGCUAGGGAACUCGCUGCGUCGUCAUGCCGGGGGGCGACGCGGGACUCCCACUCGGCUGGGCCCGUCGGCGGACGUGUGCGCGCGAGCGCCGGGGCCGAGAAAAUCCACAGCGCACUGCACCCGGAGAAGCCCUGGUUUCCCGUCAAUGGACGCGGGUUCGAUUCCCGCCACCUCCACCA